GUUUAUGGUAUCUUACAGGUAGCUUAUGUCAGCUCAACCGUUAACCUUAGCAUAGCACUUAGUUUAACAAGAUACAGCUACUUUUUAUAUUAAUGAAGUCAGCAUGACUUUCCCCCUUUUUUGACUGAAACGAGACCUUUGCUUGACAUUGAAGCUUCUGCAUUUGAAAGGAACAGGAAUCUGCCCCUAAUCCAACUCCAGAACUAUCAUUCCUACAGAACUGUAGAGGUUCAAAGCCAGCAUCCAGCUGGAGGAGAAACAGAACACUUGGAUGUCACAGGAACAGUUCAGUU